rnacentral:rRNA from 1 species
CGGGAUCCAGAGUUUGAUCCUGGUCAGAACGAACGCUGGCGGCGUGCCUAAUACAUGCAAGUCGAGCGGAGAUAAUGGAGCUUGCUCCAUUAUCUUAGCGGCGGACGGGUGAGUAACACGUGGGCAACCUGCCCUGCAGAUCGGGAUAACCCCGGGAAACCGGUGCUAAUACCGAAUAGUUUGCGGCCUCUCAUGAGGCUGCACGGAAAGACGGUUUCGGCUGUCACUGCAGGAUGGGCCCGCGGCGCAUUAGCUAGUUGGUGAGGUAACGGCUCACCAAGGCCACGAUGCGUAGCCGACCUGAGAGGGUGAUCGGCCACACUGGGACUGAGACACGGCCCAGACUCCUACGGGAGGCAGCAGUAGGGAAUCUUCCGCAAUGGACGAAAGUCUGACGGAGCAACGCCGCGUGAGUGAAGAAGGUUUUCGGAUCGUAAAACUCUGUUGUGAGGGAAGAACAAGUACCAACUAACUACUGGUACCUUGACGGUACCUCACCAGAAAGCCACGGCUAACUACGUGCCAGCAGCCGCGGUAAUACGUAGGUGGCAAGCGCUGUCCGGAAUUAUUGGGCGUAAAGCGCGCGCAGGCGGUCCUUUAAGUCUGAUGUGAAAGCCCACGGCUCAACCGUGGAGGGUCAUUGGAAACUGGGGGACUUGAGUGCAGAAGAGGAAAGUGGAAUUCCACGUGUAGCGGUGAAAUGCGUAGAGAUGUGGAGGAACACCAGUGGCGAAGGCGACUUUCUGGUCUGUAACUGACGCUGAGGCGCGAAAGGAGCAUGUGGUUUAAUUCGAAGCAACGCGAAGAACCUUACCAGGUCUUGACAUCCCGCUGACCGCCUAGGAGACUAGGCUUUCCCUUCGGGGACAGCGGUGACAGGUGGUGCAUGGUUGUCGUCAGCUCGUGUCGUGAGAUGUUGGGUUAAGUCCCGCAACGAGCGCAACCCUUGAUCUUAGUUGCCAGCAUUCAGUUGGGCACUCUAAGGUGACUGCCGGUGACAAACCGGAGGAAGGUGGGGAUGACGUCAAAUCAUCAUGCCCCUUAUGACCUGGGCUACACACGUGCUACAAUGGACGGUACAAAGGGCUGCAAACCCGCGAGGGGGAGCCAAUCCCAGAAAACCGUUCUCAGUUCGGAUUGCAGGCUGCAACUCGCCUGCAUGAAGCCGGAAUCGCUAGUAAUCGCGGAUCAGCAUGCCGCGGUGAAUACGUUCCCGGGCCUUGUACACACCGCCCGUCACACCACGAGAGUUUGUAACACCCGAAGUCGGUGGGGUAACCCUUACGGGAGCCAGCCGCCGAAGGUGGGACAGAUGAUUGGGGUGAAGUCGUAACAAGGUAGCCGUAGGAUCCGAAUCGGAUCCCG